rnacentral:lncRNA from 1 species
AGUGUUUUGGUAAAAAAUGAAACCAGUAACCAAUGAUGGCCUGUUUUGUGGUUAACACCUAACUUCAUGGUGGGGAUGAGAUUGUGAGUGGGAUAAUCAAAACUCUGCCACAAGAGAGUGUUUGUCCCAUUGGAGUGAAGGUGUUGAAGAACAAAGUUGCCUGUGUCCAACAAGGUGGCCUUAGUGUUGUUGAUAGGUUGAGGUGGAGAAUACAGGAUUAUUGGCUUCCCACGUUGAGAUUCAAUUUUCAGCACGCCUGAGCGGUUAAGUGACAGAACUGCAGAAUCCUUGUCCACAGGUUGGUUUCUAUCACUCAUCCAAACUACAUAAUUAUUAUUUACAUUGGAUACAAACAAAUACUGGUUGUCACCAACAUCAACCCAACCAAAACCUAGACAAUAGUCGCCCUUUUUUGAAUAUAGUGGUCCUGUAUCUAAGUUCAGUGUAUCACCAGGCUUUAAACUGUCAUUUGCUGCUUCAACACGAAUACAAGUACUCCACCACAAGCACAAGCACAUGAAAGCAAGCACCUUCUGUAAACAUGGAAAUAGUAAUCUGCAUGAUGGUUUACUGAGUGAUGAGCUGAGAGUUAUUCUUUCUGAUACGUUAGAAAAAGAAAUGUAUAACAACAUAAAACUAAGUUGUAAAAUUAAAACCAGACACAUAUUGAAUCUGUCAGAAGCAUAUACUCACAACAUGUGAUGGAGGGUCAUUCCAAAUCUUAUUAAUUACAAGCUUCAGAGCUUAAAACUCCAACUUUGGCUUUGGAAUUCUGCACCAAAAAUGAAUAGCCUGUCAGCACAAGUUAAGAGAAAAGAAAAAAGCAGUAUACUUUAUUGCAAUUAUUGAAGUAAAGAAGAUAAUGAUAUUAUGGGCUAUUGAUCCCACAAAAAGAAAAAGUUAAGUAAGACUAAAGGAUUUUAUGUUUUUUGAAUAUUUAAAUAAUUUUUGUAAUAUUAUUUAAUGUAUAUUUUAAUUCCCUAAAAGUUUAUAUGAUGACACUUGUGUUAUAAAAAGUGUAUUCUUCUUACUUAUAAAUCAUAAAAAAAAUAUUAAUAUUUAUGUGUUUUUAUUAUUUUAAUGGUAUUGUAAAGUAAUGUAGCUUUGUCAUCCUAUGAUUAGAUAACGUUUGUGCCUAAUACGUUGUUAAUUUCAUAAAAUUUUGAGAAAUAUAAAAGUUGGACAGGAAAAAUUUAUAAACUCAAUGCCUUGAUAUUUUGGAUUUAGCAUGCUGUAAAUUUUACUUAUAUGAUUGAUUAGUGGUUCAUAAAUAAAGUUUCAUGUUCGUGCCGGUUGAUUCGAUUGUCCUAAUGUCUCCAACGACAAUCACACUCCCGAUUCUCUUUGCCUUGGUUCGUACUUUCCUUCUAUCAAAACACCUUGUACCUAUAAAGACAAAGAGGCGUCCUAGAAGCCGUUUGCACUCCGACUCUCAAGUCAAUACUGUGGCUAAGAAACAGAAAUGUAUGUAAUUGUUCUAGUCUCAAGAACUGCGUACCUCUUUAGUUGUCGGCGAUGCGGGCGGAGGGCGAAUGGAACCAGCGACGAUGCUGCCGUGUGGUGCGAUCGGCGGUGCAAAGGAGCACGUUCGUUGGCGACGAAAGGGAGGAAGAGGUUGUUGGAAUCACGAUGCGGUCGUGGCGAGAAGCAGAGCGGGGCAGUCACGGUGAGAAGCAGAGCGACAAUGUCCCGGGGAGCAGCGACGCAGUGGUUGUGUCACGAGGUGUAGCGAUACGGUGGCUUUGUCGAAAAAGGCAGCAACACAGUGGCUCUGUCACGGUGCGACCAGCGGGUGAGUCCUUUGCAGUGGUGCGGCACUGCGGCGAUGAAGAAAGGAAGAAGAAAGGAGAGGGUGAAUGAAGGAGUGAAGAAGACUAAAGGUGCAGAAGAAUGAAGGAGUAAAGAAAAUAGUGAAGGCGUGAAGGAGUAAAGAAAACAGUGAAGGCGUAAACGAGAGUGAAGGCAAGAUUUAAAAAUCUACCACUUAAAAAAAUCCCACUUACUUUUAACAACGGUUCAUGCUGAAAGUGUUGUUAAAAACCCCAGUCACUCUUAUAAUGACAAUUCAUGCUGGAACCAUCGUUGUUUUGGACCUACAAACACAAAAUAAUUACAAGUUUACCACCCUAUAUUUUAUAACGAUGAUUAUGUAAAAACCGACUUUUUAUAGAAUCGUCGUAUUGAUAUUUUAUACUAGUAAAAUCAUAAAAUAUAGAAAAUAAUAUUUUUAAAAAUAUCAAUAGUGUGUAACUGGUAUGCUUAAUAAUAACAAAUUAUUUAUAUUAUUUAUGAUCAAUUAACCUUAUCCUAAUUUAAAUCUGUAUAGACUGAAAAGAAAAAAAUUUGAAUAUUGUCCCAAGUCUGCAACGGGCAAUCUUGUCCCAAUACGAAGGAGUUCUUCACCCCAGUAGUAAUUCCAUAUGUACGCCAACAAAUUAAAUAUAAAGGAAAAUUGAAUCUAAUAUGAAAAUAGUUUAAUUAGAUUUUAAAUAUCUUAUGCAUUUGAUUAUUUUCAAUAAAAUCUUUAUUAAAAAAAAUUAUUCUACUGAAUGUUUAAGAUAUUAUUUAUUCUAUUUAAGUAUGUCGUCUUAUUUUUCUGUUAAGAGACUUCUUAUUAUUUAUUCUAUUAAACUUUCGCAAGUUAAAAGAAAUUAAAAAGAAGAAAAGUGAAUUAAUUGAUACAUUGAAGAUAAAGAGAUAAAAAUAAUAACUAUAUCACAUUUAAAAGAAAAAAAUUAAGUGAUAGAAUACAGAAAUAAAAACAAAAAUAUUUUAAAUACUUAACAAAAUGAUUUUUUAAUAGAAAUUCAAUACACAAAAAUGUUUAAAUUUAUAAUAUAUUUAAAACACUACAACAAAAAAUGUUUUUAGAAACUAAAUUUUUGGUUUCUAAAAUAAUAAAAUUAGUCACUAACUUAAUUAGAGACUAAUUUAGAAACUAAUAGUCUUAAGUGGCUAAAGUCAUGGUCACUAAUUUUAGAUACCAAUUUAAAUUCUAACUUAGAAAUCAAUUUAGUUACCAUUAAAUAAAAACCAAUUUAGUGACCAAAUAUAUAGAAACUAAUUUAGUGACCAAUUAUGUAGAAACCAAAUUAACAACCAAUUUCAUGGAAACCAAUUUAGUAACCAAAAUAUAUAGAAACUCAUUUAGUAACCAAAUAUAUAAAUACCAAAAAAAUGUUCACUAUAUUGAUCUCUAAAUAAUAUAAUUUAUUAAAAAAUAUUAUUUUAUUUACCUACUUUCUCUUUAAUAUUAUAUAUUUAUUUAUAAAUUAAAGUUUAUUAAUAUUUUAUAUUUAUUUAUAUAUUUAAGUUCACUAAUUUUAAAAUAAAUUUAUAAAGUUCGUUAACUCAAAUCUUUCAUAUUUUAUAUUUAUUUAUAACCUUUGUUGAGUUAUUGAAAAGAUUUAAUAUUUUUUAAUUAAUGGAUCCUUUUCACUGUAUCUCUUCAUCCCAAUGUGGCUAUUAUUCAAAGUUUAGUUGUUACAAAGUAAUGUUUACAUUCUUCAAAUUACUGCCACAUCCAUCAGAACUAUUUUUUUUGAACCUUUUGCCACACAGAAUGACUGUUUUUCUUCCCUUUACUACUGUGCAAAAAUUUUCUUCUGUUCUCAAUUUGCUUUUCAUGCUACAAAAGAAGAAAGAGGGAGGAAAAUAAAAUAAGUACAAGCCUAAAAAAUAAAGCCUCAAACAAAGAACAAAGAUCAGAAAUCACCAUGCACACGCAUUAUUAUUUCAUGAAUGACUGCAUUAGUAUGUAGACUAAAAUGAAAUUCAUAGUGUGAGUUUAUCUUUCCACUGUGUAUGUCCUCUUUUCUUUCUCUGCGCAAUAUCUAUGGCUAUGCAAAUGCAAAGUGUUGAACUUUAGAAUCUGUGACUGUCCCUGUUUGCAUCUCUAUCUAUCAUCUACAGUCGGUCACUGAAUACUCUUGACUAUAUUAUCAUAAUUCUAAGUACCAACUAUACACCGAAACUCAUAUUUUAGCAUAGGUUUGUUUGAACUCACUUUGAAGUGACGACAAAUCAAAAACUUCUUUAGCAUUAAUAAAGAAAAAAAGUUAACUAUAUCUAAGACUAACAUAAAUAAUAAAAUUAAACAAAGUUAAUUAUAUGAAAUCAACCAAAAACUCUCCAAACCACAAGUCCCUUGUUCAAAUUGGUAUCUUCUUACACGAUGGCCAUGGAUCAGUAUAAUAACUUUUGAGGAUAUCUCCAAUCCCAUUAGUUGCAGGGCAUGAAGGUAAAAAUCUGCAAAAUGACAUAUAAAUUAUCAUUAUUCCACAGUUUAUUAUUAAUUUGGUUGUCCUAAGAUACUACAACAACAAUAAGAGGGCAAUUUACUCAAAAUAUGAUUAAUGUGAAAGAAGUAUUUCAAAACCAAGCUUAACCAAUCUUCAGUAAGGAUUCUCAACACGUUAACCAAGCUUGCAAAAGGUCUCAUAGGCUGAGUUCAAUAGUGCUUCCACAAGCGAUUCCUGGAACUAAAAUCCAUUUUCUGCUAGUUAAGGAUACUAUAGCAGAGAAAAAAACCAACUCAGUGUAUCUUUUCACUCUUAACAAAGUACAAUAAUAUACAAUUAUGAAAGGUUUUCCAAAAUAACCUGAAGAGGCUUCGGUAUCACGGUUUUGAUGAAUGACCACCAUCUAUCUUCAACAACAGCUUUUAUAAGGCAACAUGUCCGCAAACCUUCUGCACCACCAAAUCGUCCAAAUCCACUUUGUUUCACCCCCCGAAUGACAGCGACUGAAAUAGUGGAAAUUGCACAAUACAACUUUAAUUCACUGGAAAUUAUAAUUAUAUGUAACAUAGGUUGAGUAGGUAACAUAUUCUGGCCAUUUGGCUAAAAGAACUGCAAAAUUAUAAGCCAAAAAACCAAAAAAAUAAUUAAAUGCUACUCAUACAACAUUCAUAAAUAUUGUUGCUUACAUUAGAAGUUCCUUUCAAAUAGGCAUCUUGCGGCAAAGUAGAUGUUACAGUAAAUUAAAAGCAUAGAUAAUAUCACUGCUACUAAUGUCCUUUAAGGUCAAACGCCUUCUAAGAGAUGACGAUAAAAUAGUAAAAUAAAUUUUACCUGACACAUGUAUGUUGCACCAAAAUCAUUAAUCGCAGCAAUCCCACAAUGUAUGACUACAUGGGAAAACACCACAUCACAACCCAAAUUUUUCAAAGGUUGUGAGAACGUUACAUAUACAAGUGAUGGUCUUCCCUCAAAACAACUAAGGACAUGAAGCAGUAAAUACAGAAAAGACCCCACAAGCCUGAUUUUAACAAUACUUUUAACUAGAAAGGUUUUCUGCAAGUGUAAGAGGAAUAUUUGAAAUUACACACUUAUUAUUUUGAUAGAAAAGCAUUGAUGAUGAAAUUUUUCUUUUUAAUCAUCACUUCCUCAAAUUAAUACCUUUCCAAAUUUUUAUUGAAUAGAAAACACAAGCAAGAUGACCUAAAAAGCUUUAGUAUAAGUGAACCUGAGAAUAACUAGGCUAUACAGAUCGUGAAGGUUUUGUGGAUAAGUGUCUCGAGGAAAAACAAUGUAAUGUGUAGUUAUUCAACACUUGCAACCACUACUACAUAGACUAUAUCAACAUUAUGACAAACAUGCACACCUGACCCAAUACAUGACCACCAACUUCAAAGUCCUUGCUUCAAUCGCUUGUUUCGCACCUUCAAUGUUCCCGACCUGUGAUAGGAUUAAAAAUACGAGUAAUAGGUUAGAUUCCAAUGACAAACGAUAACCUACAAUUAGCUUUCAACAUGACUCACAAAAGGGACUUCAUAUCACUUAAUUCACUCAACCUAUCCACUAGCAAUAUAAAUUUCUUCAUAAACACUAACAAAAACAAGAAAAUGAAAUACGUUUUUUCAUAUGCUAAAAUUGAUUUAUAUAUAAGUUAAUACCAACUCUUUGAAGAAGCUAAAUCUGCAAGUACUUGUGGAAAGUUUAUCUAAGCAUAAAUAAGGAAGGAGAAUCAUGAAAUAUAAACUCAGCAACGAUACAAGUUAUAGCAGCUGAGGGGUUCAUCGACUUCAAACGAAAUUCUAGUUUAAUUUUCUUUAAUUUGAAAAUAAAAUGGGCUAAGUCUAAAUCGAGCUAGGCAUCAGAAAACACAAGAACAGACUAAUUAAUUUGCAGAGAAAAUAAAAAGAAAACCAAAAUUAGGACAUCAUUGUCUCUUAGGAUUUGCGUAUAGUUAGUAACCUCACUUGAGGAACAACUUUGAACCCAGCAACGUGAGCCUUAUUUACUAAUUCCCUUGUGCAAUCAUCCCAGGAAAUUUGCAAGACUGCAACUUCUUCUUCCAGAAUGACCUUCAAAUUCUCCUCAAAAGCAAAGGCUAGAAAUCACAGCUUUAUUCAAGUAAAGAUUCAAAGUUCUCGUAGAUUCCUACAAAUUGAAAAUGAGAGAAUACAACAUGAGAACAGAAUCUAGGGUUUUAAGAUGGGAAAGAUACAUAGUGAGUAAAGUUGUGCGGGGCUUCCAUGAGCAAACACAAAAUUAAAGGGAAAAGGACGAGAAUGGAGCACGAAUCGAAACUUACGAUGAUAAACGUUGGUCUCCUUCGGAGGAGAGAAGCGCAAAGUGCGUUGUUGCAGAGUGCGUUGUGUUGCCGUGAGUGAGAUAUGAGCAGCGUUGCCGUGAGUGAGAGAUGAACAGCGUUGCCGUGAGUGAGAGCGUUGCCGUCGUGAAUGAGAGGGUUUUCGUCGUGAGUGAGAGCGUUGCCGUCGUGAAUGAGAGGGUUUUCGUCGUGAGUGAGAGCGUUGCCGUCGUGAAUUAGAGGGUUGUCGUCGUGAGUGAGAGAUGAGCAGCGGCGUUGCCCGUGAGUGAGAAAUGCCCAGCGUUGCCCCAUAUGAAGGUUGAGCAGCGUUGCCCUGAGACAGAGAUGAGUAGAAAAAGUUAAAGUGAGAAGAAAGAGAUAACAAAGUGAUUAAAAAUUUAAUUACUUUAAAAUUAGUAUCUAUAUUUAAAAUUAGUAUCUAAAUUCAAAAUUGGUAUCUAAAUUUAAAUAAUAAUGGUUAAAAAUUUAAGUAUCAAUAAUUGUAUGAUGAUUAGAAACUACAAAAUUAGUUUAUAAUUUUUAUUACUUUUAGAGACCAAAAUUUAGUUUCUAAAAUAGAUUAAAAGUGAAAAAAAAAUGGUUUCUAAUUACAUUUUUAACAAGAGACUAAAAAAUGGUUUCUAUAAAUUUUUUUAUUUUAUUUUUAUUAUUAGCUACCAAAAUUAUAGUAUCUAAUUAUAUUAUAAUUUUAUUAAUAAUAGAUACCAUUUUAGUAACCAAUAAUUUUUAGUUUAUAAAAUGGUAUCUAAAUUAGUUACUAUAGACACUAUUUUUUUUUUAGUUUCUAAAUUAGUUGCCAUUCAAUCAUUUUCUUGUAGUGAAACUUGGUAUAUUCUUUGAAAAAUAACACUAGCACGUUAUGAUAAACCCAGUUCUAUACAAAUCAAAAUUUAAAGCUAAUAUAGUAGUGGCAAUCAAUCAUAUGGGAGCAUGAACUGCUGUUAGGUUUCCGGUGGGGUGAGAUUUCUGAAUAUGGCUGACACUUCUUUCUUUUUCACAAAUUUUCCUGAACACUUUCGGGAGAGAGACUUAUGGAGGGUUUUUCAAAGGUGGGGAAGGGUGCUGGAUGUUUUCGUAUCAAGAAAGCUCAACGCAAGGAACCAAAAGUUUGGUUUCGUAAGGUUUCAGGGAGUGAACGACGUUGUAUCUCUAGAAAGAGAGUUGGAUGCAAUUUGGAUUGGUACAUGGAAGUUGCAGGUGAAUCUUCCAAAGUACCAGAGGGUGGAGGCUACAAGGGUGCAGAGAAAUGAGGACUCUAGGUUAGGUUGGCCGCCAAGGAAGAAAGUGACGCAUCCUAGGACGACCUAGAAUCGGGAUCGGACAGAGCAGCAACAGUCGUUUGCCCAAGUGGUUUCGGGGGAGGUAGCUCAGAGUGGGACCGGUGGGAACGUAGGUGGUGCACAGGGGGAAGAGGUUACUAAACUUACGAUGGUUUUAGAGCCUCCUUCCUGGCCUGAAGGUUGCUAUGUGGGUAGCCUUAAGGUGGUGCCUUGCAUGCAGUCGUUGAAAGAGAGCUUCGUCUUGGGAGGUUUUAGUCACGUCAGUAUAAGGCAUCUUAGGGAAAGUUAUGUGUUGUUGUCAUGUGUUGAAGGUGAAGGGAUGAACAAGAUUUUAACUGAAAAUAAAGCCUGGUUUGAUGAUAUGUUCUUGAUGGUUGUACCAUGGGAUGAUUCCUUUGCAGUGAAGGAGAGAUCGGUGUAGAGGCAUCCCGCUUCAAAUGUGGUGCAAUCAGUGCUUUUUCAGGAUAGGGGCGUUGGUAGGGGAGGUGGUGGAGAUUGAUAAAGCAACAGAAAAGAAAGAAAAGUUGGAAUACGCGCGUUUCCGGGUUAAAAUCCCGCUUAACAACAAAGUUAAAGUGGCGAAGGUUCUUAGCAUCAAUGGAGUUUUAUGCACGGUGUCGUUUGAAGAAGAGGCAUGUUUCCCGGACUUUUUCCACAAGAUGUUCAGCGGCAAAGGGGAUGGAGGAGGUUCUGAGGUGGAUACCGAGGCUAGCUCGGAGGAGGGAAGUGUAGGAGCAAGCCUAAGCGUUUCUGCGGGUUCCGAGUUCGAAGUGGCUAGAGGCGGGAAUGAAGGCGGCGAAGGAGGUGGAGGAAUGGAGGUCAACGGUGGUGGAGAUGAGGGGAACGAAGGGUCGGUCCAGGGCAGGCGGGAAUCAUUACUCCUAGGUAGGUUGCGCAAGCAAGGUGAAGGGGUGCCAUCUCAAGGUGCUUUAAGUGGUUCAUUAAUGGUGAAUGACUUUCUAGGAUCAAAGGUUGAAAGCGUGAGUCCACCUUUAAUGGCUGAAGCGUGUAUUCCCAAUAAUUCUAAGGCAACUACAGAAUGGGGCAGGAGGAGCAUUGAUGAAGGAAGCUCAUGCUUUGGUGAGCGUGGGUUACGAAAUAUAGAAGAGGAGUUAAUAGGGAGGUUUUCCGAUAGGGGUGGAAAGGGGUCCAACGUGGAGGGGAGUUUUUCAAGGGGUCUUGCAGGCUGUGGGUCCCUUAGGGUGUUUAAGGGAGUUAAUAAUGAAGGCACGGAAAUUUGUAACGUGAGUGGGAAGGAAGUUGGGUGGGAAUCUUAUGUGGAGGCAGGCUCACAACAGGCUUUAAAUAAAGAGGUAGGUGGAAAGGUUUUGGAAGGUUGCAAUGAUGCGGCUAACGAGGCUCUUGCAGAAGGAUUUUUGCUGGAACAUUUGGGAAGUAAGAGUUGGGUAGGAGAAUCAAUAAGGCCUGGAAUCUCUUUGGAGGUCUCGGAACUAGUUGGAGUAAAGGUGGAUGAAGAGGGCGAGGAUGAGAUACCAUUUUUAAACAGAAACUGAGAAAGUCACGGUUUGGUGAGUAGAGGGUCGAUAGAUGGUAACAAGAUGGAAGAAGCGGAGGAUACACAGAGUUUUGAGGAUCUAGUUGGAGAUAAGGUCGGAAAGCAGCUUACGGUAGACCAAGUUUUUUUGGUCCAUCAAUCUGGUAGUGAGUCGAAUUCACUAUUUGCUUCCGAUAGCGCAAUUGAGAACUGUAAUAGAAUUUUCUGGGUGAAGACGGAUAAGAAUGUAGCUUCCAGUGUCUGGGGAGUUGGGAAAGAGGAAAGUUUUUCGUUCCCAGGCCGAGAAGAAAUAGUUUUAAAUAGUUUUGUUCGUUGUCUAAUCAGGGUGGAGUAACUACGAGAAAGAUGUGGAAGGAAAGGAGAAAGGUAGUUAAUGAAGAUAAUUAGUCUGAAUAUAAGAGGGGCGAGAGGCGCAGUAAAGAGGAAUUAUGUAAGGGAUCUGAUCAGUAGGGAACAAGCAGAUAUGGUGUGUUUACAAGAAACAAAGUGCUCGGAGUUUAGUAGGGAGAAGGUGUGUCUUCUUUGGGGUACCAACGAAGUGGAUUGGGUGGAAAACAAAGCAAUAAAUAAAACAGGGGGAGUGCUUACGACGUGGAGUAACAAGUCGUUCCAGCUUUCCAGUUUCGUUAAUGGCAAAAUUUCACUAUUUUAGAGGGUUUUGGGAAGAGAGGAAAUGGUGCACACUUAACCAUUGUGAAUAUUUACUGCUCUGGCACUCUAAGGGAGAAGAAAGAGAUGUGGAACGAUGUUGGUGUUUUCAGACAAGGGCAACUUUCAAAGGCAUGGUGUAUCAUUGGGGACUUUAAUUCAAUAAGAAGGCAGGAGGAAAGGAGGAGCGUGACGUCGAACUCUGUCUACUCUAGAGAAAUAAAGGGUUUUAAUGAGUUUAUUGAAAGUUCAGAAUUGGCAGAUAUCCCGUUGGUGGGUAGGAAGUUUACUUGGUUUAAACCCAAUGGAUUGGUGAAGAGCAGAAUAGACAGGGUACUGGUUUCUAAAGAAUGGUUGGAUUUGUGGCCUAAUAGCCAACAAUUCGUUUUAAGCAGAUCGAUCUCGGAUCAUUGUGCAGUUAUGCUGAAGGAAGUCUCAGUAGGGGUCCGAAAUCGUUUAGGUGCUUGGAUGUGUGGCAAAAAGAUAGCGGUUUUAAGGAGUUUGUGAGAUCGAGUUGGGUUUCGUACAAGGUGGAAGGAAGAGGAAUUUUUGUGUUCAAAGAAAAGUUGAAAAGAUUAAAAGCAUAUUUAAAGGUGUGGAACAAGGAGGUCUUCGGGGAUGCGAAUCAGUCAUGUAAGGAAAUCCAACAGAGGUUAGACGAGCUAGACUUGCGCGAUGACGAAGACGGGAUAGAUGAAUCAGAAAGAGAAGAAAGAAAGUCCCUCUUUGCCAAGCUAUCUGUCUCUAAGUCUAAACAAGAGGCGAUUCUGUUCCAGAAAGCAAGACAAAGUUGGAUUAAGCAGGGGGAUCUUAAUACGAAGUACUUCCACUCUUCGGUAAAAUGGAGGAGGUCAAGGAAUCAAUUACACGGGAUUUUCGUCAAUAAAAAAUGGAGUGACAAUAAGGAUGAGGUGAAGAUUAAGGUAUGUGAGUUUUUUGAAGAAAGGUUUGCUAGGAAUGAUGUUUGCCAGGUCAGACUGGAUAAGGUCGAUUUCAAUUACAUCUCUGAAGCAGACAAUGAGAUGCUAGUUGGCGAGUUUUCGGAUGAAGAGGUGAAAGCAGCAGUUUGGGGGUGUGAUAGUUCAAAGAGUCCCGGUCCGAAUGGUUUUAACUUUGGAUUUAUAAAAUCUUGUUGGGACAUUCUAAAAGAGGACGUGGUGUUGGCGGUAAAGGAUUUUGCAGGUAAUGGCAGUUGGCCAAGAGGUUCGAAUGCGUCAUUUCUUUGUCUGAUUCCAAAAGUAGAAAAUCCUCAGCAGCCAGGGGAGUUUAGACCUAUUUCUUUAGUAGGCUGUCUGUACAAGAUCAUUUCUAAAGCGUUUUCCUUGCGUUUGAAAAAGGUGAUUGGAAAAAUUAUAGACGCUAGACAGUCGGCUUUUCUUAAAGGAAGAGGUUUAAUGGACAGUGUGCUAGUUGCGAAUGAGGUUUUGGAAGAAUACAAGAGAAAAAGGAAGAGUUGUGUGGUCUUCAAAGUCGAUUACGAGAAGGCUUACGACUCGGUGAAUUGGGAUUUUCUUUACUAUAUGUUUAGGAGGUUGGGUUUUUGUGAUCGUUGGAUUCAGUGGAUUAAGGGAUGUUUAGAGUCGGCUUCGGUUUUUGUCCUUGUAAACGGGAGCCCAACUAGGGAGUUCCUUCCUAGAAGGGGUCUUCGUCGGGGAGAUCCGCUAGCUCCUUUUCUAUUCCUCAUUGUAGCAGAAGGGUUGGUUGGGGUGGCAAGGGUAGCAGAGGAAAAGAAGUUGGUCGAUAGUUUGGAGGUUGGGAAGGGUAAAGUAAAGGUAAAUAUGUUACAAUACGCAAAUGAUACUUUGUUUUUCUGUGAAGCUAACGUCAAAAGCAUGUUUAACAUCAAGGCGAUUUUGCAAUGUUUCGAACUUUCUUCUAGGUUAAGGGUUAAUUUCGGGAAGAGUAGGAUUGGUGGGACGGGGUUGGACCAGGGAAUGCUCCAGCGGUUUGCAUCUAUUCUUAACUGCGAGACGAUGGCUGUCCCUUUUAUAUACUUGGGUAUGCCAGUCAGAGGGUGUCAUAAAAGAGGGGAUUUUUGGAAUGGGGUGAUUGAGAAGGUACAGGUUAGAUUAAGCAGAUGGAAGGGAAGAUGUUUGACGAUGGCUGGGAGGGUUUGUCUGAUCAAGUCCGUGCUAUCCUCUAUUCCGUUAUUCUAUAUGUCUUUAUUCAAAUUGCCCUCGGGGGUGGCUGGAAAGCUGAUUCGGUUGCAAAGAAGCUUCCUCUGGGGAUGGGGUGCAGAAGGAAGGAAGAUGGCUUGGGCCUCCUAGAGUCAGGUAUGUAUGCCACGCAAGUUUGGGGGGUUGGGGGUAAUUAAUGUAAGGUUGUUCAACUUGGCUUUAUUGGGGAAGUGGAUUUGGAGGUUGGGGUCGACCGAGAGAGGCCUUUGGAAGGAGAUCCUCGCAUCUAAAUAUGGAGGGUGGAGAAGAUUGGGAGAGGAAGGAAAAGGUAGGAGGUGUUCUCUAUGGUGGAAAGAUUUGAAAGAGGUGUGGUUCUCGGAGGGUUGGGGGAGAAGUUUUGCAGACGGUUUCAAGUGGAAUAUAGGGGAAGGGAAGGAUAUACUUUUCUGGGAAGAUAGAUGGUUGAAUGACGAGUCUCUAAAGAGUUCCUUUCCAAGGUUGUUUUCUAUUAGCUCUUCCAAGAAUGCUAAGGUGUCAGAGCUUGGCUAUUGGUCGAAUGGCGAGUGGGUCUGGCAGUUGUCUUGGAGAAGACCGUUUUUUUGAGUGGGAGAAGUCGUUGGCGGAGCAGUUGUGUCAGCUUCUGCUAGAGGCUCGAGUUGUUUCGGGAGAGGUGGAUGGUUGGAUCUAGAAGGGAGGGGUUUCCCAAUCUUUUUCGGUUAAUUCUGCCUAUAACCUUGUUAGAAAGGAUAAAGAGACAAUGUUUUCGCCAAUUUUUUGUAAGUUGUGGAAGAGCAAGGCAAUUCCCUCUGCAACUCUCAUGGCUUGGAGGCUGUUGGAAAACAAGCUUGCUACCAGGGUAAAUUUGAGUAGAAGAGGGGUUUUGGUGGAUAGCUCGUUGUGUGGUUUGUGUGGGUUGGUGGAAGAGUCUUGUUGCCAUUUGUUCUUCGAUUGCAGUUUUGCUAGGCGGGUGUGGGGAUUGUGUCAUAGGUGGCUUGGGGUUUCGGUUGCGUCCCAAAUCCAGCCAAAGUGUAAUUUUGAUCAUUUUAGGUUGAGCUGUGCUUCAGAAACGGUUAAUAAUGUCUGGACCACAAUUUGGGUUGGGAUAGUGAGCGAGUUAUGGAAGCACAGGAAUAACAUUAUUUUUAAUAGAGGAGUGGGGGAUGCUUCUGAAAUUUUUUCUUUGGUACAAGUAAAGGUCUGGUUGUGGGUUUCUGUUAAUUGUAGGUCAACCUCGUUUUCCUUUUCUGACUAUUGUUUAGAACCUUUGGUUUGCAUGAUGCUAAUUACCUAAGUUUGGCUUGUUUAGUAAGUUUGUAGGUUUUAGGCUGGUAUGUGUAUAAGGGUUGAACCAUCCCUGAAGUGGUUCCUAUUUAUUUAUUUUUUAUUAUCGAUAAAAAUAAAAUAAAUAAACCCAGUUCUUUGGAGCUGCAGAUCUUCUCAAUUGAACCAGUAACAUAGCCAAUAAGAAUACGACAAAUUAUAUAUAUAUAUAUAUAUAUAUUAAUUUAAUAUUUUUUUCAGUAUCUUAACCGGUUGAGUUAGUGAUUUAGUUUUUGAAAUAUUUGAAGACAAAAUUAUUGAUGAGUCAAAGAAACUGAGACAAAUAAAAAAGAAAGAUUCAAUUAUUUAUAUUUCAUAGCUUUAUGGUAAUGCGCUACCCUUUUGAUUGGUCUCACUUUUUGAAGAUGAAUUGCUUUUCUGUUUUAACUUUUUCAAUACUGUACUCAUUGUAAGAUACAAAGAAAGUAUUCAUUGUUUAUAUAAGAGUAUAUAUAUAUAUAUAUAUUAAUAUAAUUUUAAUUAUAAUAAUCUUUUAAUUUAAUAAAAGGACAUCCUAUACGGUUGUCCACACCCAAGAGAACUACCUCAAGACAAAUUCACAAUAUAGAAAUAUGUCUAACACUGUUAUGUAUAAUUUUUUCUCUUUUUUUACCAAAAAGACAAACUUCUGCUCUCUUUAAAAUGUAACAAACAUUGAUUAAUUGAUAAUUUGAAGUCAAUUCUUUUUUAUUUUUUCUAAAUCAGUACAUAAAUAUUCAGGUAGAAGCAAUUGUUUCUACUGUAGAAGAGGUAAUUUGUACUGUAGAAUCAGUACACAAUUCAAAGGAAGAUAAAUUUUCAGGAUACAUAUACCUUUGAACAUAGAAUGUUGGUCUUUGAGGUAAGGAUACUAUCGCACUCUUGUUUGUUAAUCUUGAUAAAAUUUCACUCAUUGUGGGUCGAUCAUUUGCAUAAUGAUCAACACAUAAGAGACCAAUAUGAAUACAUCUUUGCACUUCCUCGUUUAAUGAUAGAUCCACUAAUUCAAAAUACUUGUCAUCUUUCCAUAAUUCCCAUACCUGUAAGUAUUUACUCAAAUUAGACACAAAUAAUAGUAUCAUGUCAAAUAAACAAACUUACCAAUGUUAAUUUUACAUACAUGUCCAACUAGAUUCAAAGGAUGGUCAUCAUCAUAAAAACUUGUGUUUUUUCUUCCACUAACUAUUUCAAGCAACAACACUCCAAAGCUGUACACAUCAGACUUAAUAGAAAAUAUAACCACUACAAGAAAUUUCACAUGAGAAAAUAAAUUUUAUUUAUACAUGAAAAUUAUGAAAUAUAAACCAAUUUGUAGAAACCAAAAUAAUUAGUUGCAAUAGUAACUAAAUUAGAGACAAUUUUAGAAACUAAAAAAAAAUUUGGUUUCUAAAUUAGUUUCUAUUAUUUUAUAUUAUUGUUAAAUAGUUUCUAAAUUGGUAUCUAAUUAGCAACCAAUGUUUUUGCUACCAAAUUUAGAAACUAAAUAAUUGGUAGUUAAAACCUUAGUUGCUAAUUAGAUACAAAUUUAGAAACUAUUUAACAAUAAUAAAAACUAAUUUAAUAUACUAUUUUUUUUUAGUUCUAAAAUGGUCUCUAUUUUAGUUGCUAUUAUAACUAAUUAUUUUGGUCUCUAAAAAUUGGUUUCUAUUUCAUGAUUUUCUUGUAGUGUGUCCUGCCAUCUUUGACAUCCUCCUUCUGUGUUGUUGUAUCCAUAGGAACCACCGACGUGUAUGGCUGUCAUAUUCAUUUUAUAAAAAUAACUAUGCAUAACAUUCAUCAUAAAUUUAUAAAUAAUUGGUAGUUAAAAUCUUGGUAACUAACUAGAUAUCAAUUUAUAAACUAUUUAUCAAUAAUAUAAACUAAUUUUGAAAUUAAUAAUUUUAGUAGUCUCUAAAAUAGUAUUUAAUUUAGUCAAUAUAACAACUAAUUAUUUUUAAUUUUUAAAAUUAUUUUUUAUUUAAUGAUUUUUAAUAAUAUAUAUAUAUUAAAAAAAUUAAAAUAUAACAAUGGCUGGUUGUUAAAUUAGAAACUAAAUAAUUCGUAGUUAAAACCUUGGUUGCUAAUUAGAUACCAAUUUAAAAACUAUUUAACAAUAAUAAAAACUAAUUUAGAAACCAAUUUUUUUUAGUUUCUAAAAUGGUCUCUAAUUUAAUUAUUAUUGUAACUAAUUAUUUUGGUCUCUAAAAAUUGGUUUCUAUUUCAUAAUUUUCUUGUAGUGAAAGGAAUAUUAGAAAGUUAUGACAAUAUAAAAAGUAUAUAAAUUACAAUUUCAAUAGCUGUUAAGAUUUAUUUAUUUUUACCUGUUAAGAUACAAAAUAUUUUACUACCACUUGCACGGGAUAGUGUUUUAUUUUUUCCUUGUUUGGAUUGUGUUAUAUUUGUUUAUAAUAGUUAAAAAUAAAUAAAAAAUUAUAAAUUAUCUUCAUUUCAGCAAUGUAAGUCAGAAUAACAUAGAACAAUUUAGAAUUUCUGAAACUCGUGUUGUAGAUAUGACCAACCUUUUCUGUUGGAAAGAAAAAGAAAAGAACUUUUAGUAAAAGAAAAGAAAAGUACCAAUUAUCUUUACUAAAAUAAUUGAAAAAGUAUGGAUAAGUUGCUUACUCGGUGUUAGAUUGUAUUUUUGAAGGUACAUGUUUUAUAAAAUAAAAGGUUCGUUUCUUUAUACAAGGUAAAAUUAUUUUAUAAAUAAAUUAAAAGUUAUAUUUUACAAAUAUAUAAACUAUGUUUGAUUCAUAAACAAAUUAUUAAAAAAAAAAUUAAGAUGUUUGCACAUGAUAUCAAUAUAAAGGGAAACACAUUAUCAAUGGCCGACAUAGAGGAGCCAAGGAUUUUAUUACUUGGAAAGGGGAUGUCAAGGGGUUUUUUAGUGAAGUCAUUAGUGAAGUCAGCAUAUUCUAUCUUGGUCGACCAAAGAAAUGGCUUGGGUAAUGAUGUUUUUAAACUUCUUUGGAAGGCCAAAGCUUUACCAAAAGUUUUAAUCACUGCUUGGAGAAUCCUUUUGGACAGAAUUCCAACCUCCAAGAAUCUUAUGUUGCGAGGUGUAGAUAUGAACUCCCCUCUCUGUGCUUUGUGUAACCUCUUUGAGGAAUCCACCCAACAUCUGUUUUUGGACUGUGAUGUGGUAUAUAGAGUGUGGAUGUUGUGUUUCAGAUGGAUAGGUAUCUUGGGAGCUCAAAACAAGGACAUAUGUAAUCACUUCCUGAACUUUCAUUUAUCUAAUAUGUCCGAAAAACAGAAUCAGGUUUGGAAGGGAGUGUGGGUAGCGAUAGUACGUUGUAUAUGGGAGCACAGGAAUAAUGUGAUCUCUAGACAAAGGGUUCCUGACUCUGAGGAAAUCCUUCAAGCUGCUCAGUUAUUGUCCUGGCUAUGGUUGAAACACAGGGAAAGUACUUUCUCUUACUCUUUCUCCGACUGGUUAUUGAAUCCAAUCCAAUGUCUCCUGUGUGUAAGAUAAGCUUAGCCCGGAGCAUAAGGGUUCAUACGUUUAAAGUCAUGUUUUGAGUAUGCAGGUAUCUUUGAGGGGAUAGCAUGUUGGUUAUCAACCUCGGAGAUAGGUAGGGCUGGAAUGUAUGUAGGAGUUAUUGAAGAUUGGAAAUUUUCCCUGAAAUAUUGAUUAUAACAAGGACGGUUUAUACAGAGUUCAUGGUGGAAGUGUUCUCUGUUUUAAGGGAAAGAAUUUCUGGUUGUUUGGUGGUAUUAUGGUUCUAUUAUGCAGGGUACUAGGCCUAAUAGCCUUAGAAGUAGUUGGUUGGCGCUUUAGAGAUGGAGGAAGAGUCGUACGUGCUUCUCUUCUAUUCGGUGAAGUGUAGAACUACACAAAGCAAUUUGGGGUCUGCUGCUGAAGUUACCAUAAACAAUAAUGGAAGCAGAAUGGAAGGAAUUGGUUUGCUAAUAUGGUUGAAGGAAAGCUAAUAAGGAUGCAGGGGAUCUGGUGCUGGGUAUGGUUAUGAAGAAAAGAAUAGAACACUUCCAAAUGAAUUCUGCAGAUGGCCAUGUAAGGGAUUGGACAUUUAAGUUCGCUGCUGGGUCAUGGUAGUUAACAAUGCCAAGACACUACAUAUCAGUAAACUUAUAUGUGGAAGGGAGAAACUGAGCUAGACUUGAGUUAUCGUUAUGGUCAAAGAAGCUUGGAACAAAUCGGGUGCACCAUGAUGGUGAGUAAGGGAGGUUUUAAGUGUUAGACAAAUAUCUCUGUUGGGUAUGGUGCUGGGUAUGGCGAGUGAAUGAAGUGUUACUGGAGGAACAUUUGUAGUGCCUACAAAUGCAGUUUUUAUAUGAUGUUACCUUGGAAAAUAGGUUCAUCUUUCUGAUAUCUUGAGCAGAUGUGGGUGAUGCCUGGGUGGGUUGAAAUGUACAAGCCGCCUGUUUAGCUUUUCACGUGAGUUGGUUGUGCUUUUUAGGGACCAACCUUUUUUAUGCCUAAUGGAGGAACUGGACUCUGGAGCAUGUUUACUGCUAUAAACUCAAGCUUUGUUGAAAAAAUUAGGCAUGCAACAUCUUUAUUUUUAUUUUUAUUCUCUUGUUGUAAUUGUUGUUUAGACUUGUUGUUGCUGGUUCUGUAUAAGGGUUGGGACACCCCUGAAGUGUCCCCUUUAAUUUAUUUAAUUCUUUGCUGAUAAAAAAAAAACAUUAUCAAUGGUCGACAAAACUUUUUGUGUUAUGGGACCUAUAUCUUUCAUUUCCUUUUGCUUUUGAGUAAUCUCUUCUCUUCAAUGAUUGAACUUUCAAAGAUAUGAGAUAUCAUUUUAGCAUGGACAAGUUUAACACUUUUUUUCUCACAAUAGGAAAAUUAUGAGGUCACAUUUAUUAGAGGCCCAUUAUAAUUUUAAAAGAAUUAGUAUACAAAAGGAACUUUAAAUUAGAAAUAGGCUUGAGUCUAUGUUUUUUUCUACAUUGGGUUUAACUUUACUAAUUUUAGUUUUUAUCUAUCUAACAUAAAUUUCUCACUGUUUUGUUUUUAAAAAUUAAACAAUUUUGAGUUUUUGUCAACAUGUAUAAUGCCACUCAACAUUAUUUCUAAGGUUAAUUAUGUGCGUUUAGUUAUGAAAGUCACGUGGAGGGUAGGGUUUCAUAGCUGUUUUUGGGAAGCUUAUCAAGUCUAAUAUGGAUUGUGCGAUAGUAAAUGUGUAUCUUGCGUGCAAUAUGAAAGAUAAAUUGGCUUUAUGGGAGGAUUUCUCUGCUUUAAAAGCUACAACUCGGGAUCAGGCGUGUUGUCUCAUUGGUGAUUUAAUUGCAGUUAGAAAUCCUUCUGAGAGGAGAGGUAUUAGAGAAUGUGGCAUCCAAAAGUGUGAGAUCCUUGGCUUCAACGAUUUCAUUGAAAGAAACUUUUUGGUGAAAUUGCCUGUCGUGGGUAAGAAGUUUACGUGGUACAAGACAAAUGAGUCAGCUAAAAGGAGAAUCGACAGAGUUCUUGUUUCGGAUGAGUGGCUACAAAAGUGGCCUAUGGGCAAACAAUAUAUCUUACUGAGGGAGGUCUCGGAUCAUUGUGCAAUCAUGGUCAAAUCAGUGGUGAAGACUGGGGGCCGAAGCCUUUCAGGUCUUUAGAUGUGUGGUUGAAGGAGCCUGGGUUCAAGGAUAUGGUGAAGGAAAAAUGGAACUCUUAUCCUCGUCACGGAAAUAGUAUGUUUGUGUUCAAAGUUAAGAUGAAGUGUCUGAAAGCUAAUCUUAAGAGGUGGAAUAGAGAUGUGUUCAGGCACCUAGAAUCAAGAAAAAAAAAGGUUCUGAAGGAGAUUGAGGAGCUAGAUGGUCAAGAUGAAGAUGAUGCCCUACCUGAGAGUUUGAGGAUGAGGAGAGUGGCCCUCUUUAGUCAUGUAGAAGAGAUUAAUAAAAACUUGAGUCUCUUUUCAGGUAGAAAGCUAGAAAUAAUUGGCUUGCGUUUGGAGAUUCUAACUCCAAGUUUUAUCAUUUUGUAAUCAGAUGGAGGAGGCUUAGGAAUGAGGUUAAGGUGUUGAUAUGGGAGGUGUGUGGUGUGAGAAGCCUGAGGUUGUUCGUAGGGAGGUGCUGAAGCUUUAUGAAGCUAGAUUUUCUACUUCUCAAGAUUUUGAAGCAUGAUAUUGUAGCUGUUGUUCACCUCUUUCAGGAGACGGGAGGCAUCCCAUAAGGGUGUAAUGCGUUCGUCAUUACUCUUGUUCCUAAAGUGAAGGACCCUAUAAGUAUAGACCAAUACAUGCCAAUUUCUCUGGUGGGCUCGUUGUAUAAAAUUAUCACGAAGGUUUUAUCUUGUCGUAUUAAGAAAGUGUUACGUAGGGUUAUAGAUGAUUGCCAAUUAGCUUUUCUAUAGGACAAAGGGAUGCUAGAUAGCUGGGAAGUGCUGAAGCAUGAUAUUGUAGUUGUUGUUCACCUCUUUCAGGAGACGGGGUGCAUCCCAAAAGGGUGUAAUGCAUCCUUCAUUACUCUUGUUCCAAAAGUGAAGGAGCCUAUAAGUCUAGACCAAUACAGGACAAUUUCUCUGGAGGGCUCGUUGUAUAGAUCGUUGUAUAAAAUUAUCACGAAGGUUUUAUCUUUUGAUAUAAAAAAAGUCUUAUCUGAGGUUAUAGAUGAUUGCCAAUCGACUUUUCUAAGGGACAGAAGGAUGCUAGAUCACUACAAGAAAAUAUGGAAUUACAUACCGCCAAAAUCCGUAUGUAAGACCAAAAAUCCGUAUGCAAAACAUAGUUACAUACGGAUUAUAUACAAGCAAAAAUCCAUAUGUAAAACUAUCGUUGGUAAGUCUUACAUACGGAUUCUAGAUCCAUAUGUAAUUACAUACGAAUUAAUUUGUAUAUAAUAUUCGUAUAUAAAUACAUACGGAUGUAUCUAUAUGUAACAAUAUUUAUUUUUUAAAAUUAAAUUUGUAAUGCACUUGAAAGUUACAUAAAAAGAUCUGUAUGUACGAAUUUUUUAAUAUUAUUAAUAUUAAUAAUAUUUUUUGUUAUUUUUUUAAUAAAUUUAAAAUAAGUUAUAUACGAAUUUUAUGAGUUGGUGGAAGGGGUUGUAAGAAUGGAUUUUAGCAUAUAUGGUUGCCCACGCCCAAGAGAACUACCUCAAGACAAAUACAUUAAGUAAAAAUUGUGUCUAACUUUGUUAUCUAUAACUUUUGGCUCCUUCACCAAAAAGAUGAAUUUCUGCUUUCUUUACAACUUAACAAAUAUUUUGUAAGUGAUUUUUUUAUCAGCAAAUAAACAUUUCUUUAAUGAUAAUCUCAAGUCAAUUUCUUUUUAAAUUAAUAUAUAAAUAGUCAUCUUAAUUUCUUUCUAAAUUAGUACAAAAUAUUCAGGUAAAAGCCGUCUUUUCUACCGUAGAAGAAGUAAUUCCUAUUGUAGAACCAGUAUACAAUUCUAAGGAAGAUAAAUUCUCAUCAUACAUAUACCUUUGAACAUAGAAUGCUGGUUUUUGAAGUAAGGACACUAUUGAACUCUUGCUUGUCAAUAUUAAUAUAAUGUCACUCAUUGUGGGUCGAUCAUUUGCAUAAUGUUCAACACAUAAGAGACCAAUAUGAAUACACAUUUGCACUUCCUCAUGAUCAAAUACCUCAUUUAAUGAUGGAUCCACUAAUUCAAAAUAUUUGUCAUCCUUCCAUAACAACCAUACCUGUAUGUAUUUACUCAAGUUAGUUACAAUAAUAUAUAAGAUCAUGCCAAAAAAUCAAACUUACCAAAGCUAAUUUUACAUACAUGUCCAACUAGAUUCAAAGGGUGAUCAUUGCCAUAAAAACUUGUGUUUUUUCUUCAACUAACUAUUUCAAGCAACAAUACUCCAAAGCUAUAUACAUCUGACUUUGUAGAAAAUAUUCCUUCCAUAGCAUAUUCUGGAGACAUAUAACCACCGCAAGAAAUUUCACAUGAGAAAAUAAAUUUUAUUUAUACAUUGAUAUAAGAUAAAUGUAACUGAGUUUAGUAAGCUCACUAUGUCCCAACAACCCUAUUCAUAUUUGAUAUCAAGUCUUGAUGAGUAAACAUUCUAGCCAUUCCAAAAUCUGAUAUUUUUGGAUUCAUAUUUUCAUCAAGAAGUAUGUUACUAGCUUUCAAGUCUCUAUGAAUGACUUUGAGUCUUGAGUACUUGUGAAGAUACAAUAAUCCUUGAACAAUCCCUUUUAUUAUGCUGAAACGCUUAUUCCAAUCAAGUAAUUUGCUUCUUGUACAAUCUUCUCCAUGUUCAUAUAGUAGUGAUGUACGUUAGAAUGUAUAAUAUAAAAAUGUAAAAAACGAAAGUGACUUUUCUUCAUGAAAACUUGAGUAAUUAUAGUAAAUCUAUUUGAGAAAUAUCCUUAUUCACCUACAUAAGAAUAUAAUGUUAAUAAUAAUAUUAAUUAUAACAUUAAUAAAUAUUAAUAAUAUAAAUAUAAUUUAUUUUAUUUUUAUUAUUAAUAAUAAUUAUAUUAAUAUGUAUAAAUUAUAUUAAUAUGUAUAAGUAUAAUAAAAAUGAUAAUAUGACCAAAGAACUUGUUUGGUCUAGUGGUCAAUGUUUUCCCGGGUCACUGGAAAGACUUGGGUUUGAAUUCUUAUAACAUUAUUUGGGGCUUGAUAAAAAAUAUAAAUAAUGAUAAAUAAAAAUUAGAAAUAAAUUUUUUACAUUGUAUACGGAUAAAUCCAUUUGUAAUAUCCGUAUGUAAUUACAUACGGAUUUUGAUGGUAUGUAAUUCCAAUUUUUCUUGUAGUGAAAAAGGAUUUUAUAGGGUUAGAAGAUUUUUUGCACCUAAACCAUAAAAUAAAUAUACUUUAUAACCAUUUAUAAUAACAUAAUAAUAUUUUAAAUUAAAAAUAAAUUAAAUAUAAUUAAAAUAUUAAUUUAUUAGGACUUAAAGUGUGUAUGUUAUUCUUCAUGGUGUUAACGUAUCUGCACCCGAAAUUAUUGAUAGUCAAAGAAAGUGAAACGAAUAAAAGUUUUGUCGGCCAUUGCUUUAAGAAAGAUUCAAUUAUUUAUAUUUUAUAGCUUUCUCAUUUUUUGAUUGAGGUUAUGACCCAAUCAAAUUGGAGUCUCCAUUUUUGAAGAUGAUUUUCUUUCCUGUUUUAACUUUUUCAAUAGUGUACUCAUUGUUAGAUACAAAGAAAGUAUUCAUUGUUUAUAAAAGAGAGUAUUUGUUAAUUAUUAUUGAUUUUUUUUUCACUUUAUAAGAAGCUUUAUAUAUAUUGAUUAUUAUAUAAAUUUUUUUAAUUUAAUACUUAUAAUCUAAAUAAAAAAAUCAAUUACUUACCAACUCCAAUAUAUAAAUAAAUUCAUAGAUAAUUCAGUAUAUUUUAUUUUAAAUUUUUUAAUUAUUAUUUAAUUCUUUUUAUUAUUAUUUUUAAUUAAUAUUUAUAUAUAUUAUUUAUGUCUACUUUUAGAAUUAUUAUUGACAAUUGCUAUACUAUUAUAAUUAUUAUUAACUAGCGGAAACAAAGUAUCCGCAUUUUCUUCUUUUGUUCAAUUUCUACGAUGAUAAAAAUUUAACAUACAUACAUAAAUUAUUUUGCAUUAGUCGAAAUUAAAAAACAAAAAAUAACAUGUAAAAAAAUGAUGAAUUGUUUCAUCAACCCUUUUUUUUCCCUAUGAUUUGAGUUUCUUUUCUUCAAACUUUUUCUUUUCUUCAAUUGGUGGUAUAAAUAUUAGAAAUUAAAAAUUAGAAAUAAAUUACAAUGAGUGAGACUCGAAACUAAGUAUUUUCAAUAACCAAAAAAACUUUAACCAAUAUUACACCAACCAAAUUUUGUUGUCAUGUUAUGCUUAUUAUUAUAUUAUAAUUAUUAUUAUUUAUUAUUAUUAUUAUUAUUUAUGAAUAUUAGUUAUGAUUUUAUAAUUAUUUAUAUUAUGAUAAUAUUUUUAAUAUUAUGUAUAUAAUUAUUAUGAUUGAUAUUAUUUAUAUUAUUAAAAGUUCUAAAAAUAUUAAGAUUAUUUAUAUUCUUAAUAUUGUUAAUAAAAAUAUUUAUACUAAUAAUUAAUAAUAAUAUUGAAUUUACUUUUAGAUAUACAUUCGAGGGUAAAAUUUGUGGAUAAUGUAAAAAUUUACUUACGAAUAGAUAUCUGUGGAUAAUAAUCUGUCAGUAAACUGAAUUAAUCUACGAAUUCAGACUCGUAGUCAUAUCUUUAAGUAAUGCUGAAUUUAUUUAUGAAUUCAAAUUCGUGAUAAAAGUCCAUCGGUAAAUCUGACUUUGUUAUCGAUAACUUUUGGCUCUUCACCAAAAGGACGAAUUUAUGCUUUCUUUACAAUCUAACAAAUAUUUCUUAAGUGAUUUUUUUAUCAACAAAGAAAUGAUUCUUAAGUGAUAAUCACAAGUCAAUUUCUUUUUAAAUUAGUAUAUAAAUAUUUAUGUAAAAGUAGUCAUUUUACUUUCUUUCAAAAUCAGUACAUAAAUAUUUAGGUAGAAGUAGUCAUUUCUACUGUAGAAGAAGUAAUUUCUACUGUAGAACCAGUACACAAUUCUAAGGAAGAUAAAUUCUCAUUAUACAUAUACCUUUGAACAUAGAAUGCUGGUUUUUGAGGUAAGGACACUAUUGGGCUCUUGCUUGUCAACAUUAAUAUAAUGUCACUCAUUGUGGGUCGAUCAUUUGCAUAAUGCUCAACACAUAAGAGACCAAUAUGAAUACACCUUUGCACUUCCUCGUGAUCAAAUACCUCAUUUAGUGAUGGAUCCACUAAUUCAAAAUAUUUGUCAUCUUUCCACAACUCCCAUACCUGUAUGUAUUUACUCAAAUUAGAUAUAAUAAUAAUAUCAUGUUAAAAAACGAACUUAUCGAACUUAAUGUUACAUACAUGUCCAACUAGAUUCAAAGGGUGAUCAUCGUCAUAAAAACUUGUGUUUUUUCUUCCACUAACUAUUUCAAGCAACAAUACGCCAAAACUGUACACAUCAGACUUCGUAGAAAAUAUUCCUUCCAUAGCAUAUUCUGGAGACAUAUAACCACUGCAAGAAAUUUCACAUGAGAAAAUAAAUUUUAUUUAUACAUUGAUAUAUGAUAAAUUUAACUGAGUUUAGCAUGCUCACUAUGUCCCAACAACCCUGUUCGUAUUUGAUAUCGAGUCUUGUUGAGUAAACAUUCUAGCCAUUCCAAAAUCUGAUAUUUUUGGAUUCAUAUUUUCAUCAAGAAGUAUGUUACUAGCUUUCAAGUCUCUAUGAAUGACUUUUAGUCUUGAGUACUUGUGAAGAUACAAUAAUCCUUGAGCAAUCCCUUUUAUUAUGCUAAAGCGCCGAUUCCAAUCGAGUAAUUUGCUUCUUGUACAAUCUUCUCCAUGGACAUAUAGUAGUGAUGUACAUUAGAAUGUAUACUAUAAAAAUGUAAAAAGCAAAAGUGACUUUUCUUCAUGAUGCUCUGCCUAGGAAAACUUGAGUAAUUAUAGUAAAUAUAAUUGAGAAAUAUCAUUGUUCACCUACAUAAGUUUUUGGAUAGUUGCAUGAUAAUGAAAACAACAUUUAUUUUUUUAACAUCCUAAACAACAGAUAAUUAAAUAAUGAUCAACACAUUUCUCACCGAAAAGAUAGAAAUCUAAGCUUUUGUUGGACAUAUAGUCGUAAAUUAGAAUCUUCUCUUCUUCAUGAAUGCAACAACCAAGUAGUUGAACAAGAUUCAUGUGCUGAAGUUCGCAUAUAAGUGUUAGUUCAUUUUUAAACUCAACCAUUCCUUGUGUAGAACUUCUUGCAAGUCUUUUUAUAGCAACUUCCUCUCCUGUUGGCAAUGUUCCCUAAAGAAAUGAAAACAAAAAGGUCAUUAGUCCUCCGAAAUAAAAUUACCAACACAUAAGAUGAGUAAUUUGAAUCACCUUAUAAACUGGUCCAAAGCCUCCCUGUCCUAACUUAUUCUCUGAUGAAAACUCAUUUGUAGCUGCCACAACCAAUGUAUAAUCCAAUACUUUUAAACCGUAUUUCUUAUUCAAAUCAUUUCCUAAAUCUUCGAUUAGACUCAUUUCUUUCCUUUUCUUCUCUGUUCAGAUGACAAUGAUCAAAUAUGAAAAUAUAGUGAUCAAAUUGUUCUUUAACAAUGAGUUAGAAGAAUGUAAGUACCUUGAAGCACAUGUUUUCGUUUCUUUAUUGCCAGGCAUAGAAUGGAUGCGCAUAUUAUGAGUAAAGUAGUUGCUAUUCCUGUACUUAUCCAUAUCCUCCUUUUAGUACCUGCAUUUGCAUACAACAACUCAAAAUCUUCCAAGUAUGAAUUAUUAAUUUUAUGGCUUUAUAAUGUUUUGCAAUGCCAUUUUUAAGCGUUGCAGCCAAUGACUUAUUUCCUUUUCAAUUUGGAGAUCAAAGACUGCUAAAAACAGAAAUUUGUUUUGGUGCAGUUCCCUAAGAUCCACAGUAAAGUUGUACAAAGAAAGAAAUGCUCAAGAAUUAUGCACUCUAGAUAAAGGGUAUAUUUGAAUUUAGGGUAUUGGAAUCUUUAGACUUUGCUCUACAUAUUUUAUGGUGUGAUGGGAAGCAUUAGAAAUGAAACUUCUUUUUGUCUAUAAAGAAAUGAAAUGAAGUUGGCAUUAGACAUACCCUGAUGAUGAGGAAUUAUGUUCCCUUUGUUCUCAAGUAAGUAAAUGUCUUCACCCGAAACAGUGGCUUCAACUAUAUAAUCUUUUGAUGAAUUCCAAUGAUAGAACAUACAUCCACUUCCAUCAUUAGAGAAUUCUUUGAAUCCAUUGCAAUAACAAUCGCUCCAGCAAGCAGCCUCACAAUCGCUGUAACUAAUAUUCUCAUUCUCGUCAGCUGUUACGUUUUGAUAAUUAGAGCGAAGAAUCUUUUUGGUAAAGACAUCACCAGGAAUCCUGCAUUUAGGUAUAUCCUGCCAUCUUUGGCACCCUCCUUCUGUGUUGUUGUAUCCAUAACACAGAUCAGCUCUUGCAACGUCUCCCUCGUUGUAAUUGCAAGAUAACUGCCCAGUAUCCGAUAGGAACCACCGACGUGUAUGGCUUUCAUUUUUAGAUGUGAAGGAGAAGGUGUCUUCAUCCCCAUUGGACACUAUGCUGUACUUCAACACGCCUUGUGCAUCUUCUGGGAUGUUCUCAAAUCUAUUGUUCCUCACUUUCCCACUUUUCCAACAAACUUUUCCUCGCCUCCUUAUCAUCAGUUCUUGUUCCCUCGGUUCCCAUUCAAGACUAAAGGCACCUCGAGUCGCACUCCCAUAGGUCAACUGCGAAAAAAGUAACCAACGAUGGCCUGUUUUGUGAUUAACACCUAACUUCAUGGUGGGGAUCAAAGUGUUGGUGGGAUAAUCAAAACUCUGCCACAAGAGAGUGUUUGUCCCAUUGGGGUGAAGGUGUUGAAGCACAAAGUUGCCUGUGUCCAACAAAGUGGCCACAGUGUUGUUGAUAGGUUGAGGUGGAGAAUACAGAAUAAUUGGUUUUUUCACAGAUGCAUAUUCUAUUUUCAGCACGCCAGAUAAAUUUAAGGAUAG